CGACUGCACGAAGCUGGAAUCGCUAGUAAUCGCGAAUCAGAAUGUCGCGGUGAAUACGUUCCCGGGUCUUGUACACACCGCCCGUCACACCAUGGGAGUUGGUAAUGCCCGAAGUCAGUGACCCAACCGCAAGGAGGGAGCUGCCGAAGGCAGGAUCGAUAACUGGGGUGAAGUCGUAACAAGGUAGCCGUAUCGGAAGGUGCGGCUGGAUCACCUCCUUUCUAAGGAA
rnacentral:rRNA from 1 species